rnacentral:rRNA from 1 species
UACAGAGGUCUCAAGCGUUGUUCGGAUUCAUUGGGCGUAAAGGGUGCGUAGGUGGCGCUGUAAGUCAGGUGUGAAAUUUCGGAGCUUAACUCCGAAACUGCAUUUGAUACUGCGGUGCUUGAGGACUGGAGAGGAGACUGGAAUUCACGGUGUAGCAGUGAAAUGCGUAGAGAUCGUGGAGGAAGACCAGUGGCGAAGGCGGGUCUCUGGACAGUUCCUGACGCUGAGGAGCGAAAGCGUGGGGAGCGAACAGG